rnacentral:rRNA from 1 species
UACGAAGGGUGCAAGCGUUACUCGGAAUUACUGGGCGUAAAGCGUGCGUAGGCGGUUUGUUAAGUCCGUUGUGAAAGCCCUGGACUCAACCUGGGAAUUGCAGUGGAUACUGGCGAGCUAGAGUGCGGUAGAGGAUGGUGGAAUUCCCGGUGUAGCGGUGAAAUGCGUAGAGAUCGGGAGGAACACCCGUGGCGAAGGCGGCCAUCUGGACCAGCACUGACGCUGAGGCACGAAAGCGUGGGGAGCGAACAGG